UACGUAGGGUGCAAGCGUUGUCCGGAAUUAUUGGGCGUAAAGAGCUUGUAGGCGGUUUGUCGCGUCUGCCGUGAAAAUUCGAGGCUCAACCUCGAACUUGCGGUGGGUACGGGCAGACUAGAGUGUGGUAGGGGAGACUGGAAUUCCUGGUGUAGCGGUGAAAUGCGCAGAUAUCAGGAGGAACACCGAUGGCGAAGGCAGGUCUCUGGGCCACUACUGACGCUGAGCCGCGAAAGCCAGGGGAGCGAACGGG
rnacentral:rRNA from 1 species